CGGAUAGAGCCAGCGAAGUCGCUCGUAUUCAGCCAAAAGUCUGGGGUUGCCUGUCGUCGUGUUUCUAAUCGAGCACGGCGGUUUGUCUUCUCCGGAUUGAGGUGCAUUUGCGGGCGUUUGCGCUGAGACUUGCGAGGCAGCUGCGGGACCGGCGUCUAGAGGCUUCCCAUUGGGUCGAACCUGGGCGCCGUUACAGCUGUUUGCCUUGCUCGUACUGGUCUGGCCUACGGACCCUGCUCGUGCUGUUGUCUUCUGGCCAAGGCAUCGCAUGCGAUGUCUAGCCUGGGGGCUGCAGCGCGGGUUGGUGUCCCCGGAUCGCCUCUCGGUGUAGAAGCUGGUCAUCUCUCCGACCCGUCUUGAAACACGGACCAAGGAGUUUAGCGUAUGCGCGAGUCAUUGGGUGUUAAAACUCACAGGCGCAAUGAAAGUGAAGGCUCGGUCGCCGGGCUGACAUGCGAGUGCCGCGGCUUCGGCCUAGGCAUGCAGCAUGGUCCCAUUGCAAUCGUUUACGAUGCAGUGGAGACAGAGCGUAUGCGCUGAG
rnacentral:rRNA from 1 species